CAGCCGUAAACUAUGCGCGUUAGGUGUAUCGGUGACCACGAGUCACCGAGGUGCCGAAGGGAAACCGUGAAACGUGCCGCCUGGGAAGUACGGUCGCAAGGCUGAAACUUAAAGGAAUUGGCGGGGGAGCACCACAACGGGUGGAGCCUACGGUUUAAUUGGACUCAACGCCGGACAACUCACCGGGGACGGACAGCAAUAUGUAGGCCAGGCUGAAGACCUUGCCUGAAUCGCUGAGAGGAGGUGCAUGGCGUAGACGUCU
rnacentral:rRNA from 1 species